CAGUAGCCACGGGAAUACGUAGGUGGCAAGCGUUGUCCGGAAUUAUUAGGCGUAAAGGGCUCGCAGGCGGUUUCUUAAGUCUGAUGUGAAAGCCCCCGGCUCAACCGGGGAGGGUCAUUGGAAACUGGGAAACUUGAGUGCAGAAGAGGAGAGUGGAAUUCCACGUGUAGCGGUGAAAUGCGUAGAGAUGUGGAGGAACACCAGUGGCGAAGGCGACUCUCUGGUCUGUAACUGACGCUGAGGAGCGAAAGCGUGGGGAGCGAACAGGAUUAGAUACCCCCGUAGUCCCUGUCUCUUAUAU
rnacentral:rRNA from 1 species